UUCUGCAUGAUUGUUUCAUAAAAAUGUGUAUUUGAUUUACUUUUGUACAGUAGAUUAACUUAAGAAGAAAAAUAUUGAAUAGAGCAUUGAAUGCAUGCAUACAAGGACUAAAUGUUUCAUGUUUGUUGUAUGCUAACAUGUAUACUGAGCAUGAAGACUAAAACGAGGACGCAGCAAUUUCUCACACUGCUUGUUGAAAAUCGGACGACGGAAUCUAGAAGAAUACUCGGACAUGUGGAAUAUGAAUUAAGUAUGUUACCAGCAACUUUGCCUCGAUCGCAGAAAGGUGUAGUUAAAGAGAUAAAUGCAAUUAUUGCUCAUUUAAAUGAAGGAUAUGAUUGAUCAGCAAUCGCAAAAGCAAAACCUGCAUUAGCAAACUUUGGCCAGUAUCACAUGCACAGUUUCAUCAGGGUAAUUAUGCUUUUGUUAAUAUUUCUUUAGUUAGUCCGUUCAUUUUUGGUUUUGUUUGGUGUGAAUGUCGUCUUUUACUGUUUUAUUCUCAUUUAUCUAGUACAAUUUGGGAGUAUAAGAAGUCUAAAUAUGCUUUUGUCUGUACUUAUAAUAUCAAUUAUUCUUGUAUAUAUUGUAUACUUAGUACAUAAUACAAAUAAGUACAAUACAUUCGUUUCAAAGUUUUCUUAGUAAACUAAAGAUAUCUCAAGAUAUUAUGACCCCUCAUAUGGCCGUGGAGACUCGUAUGUGGAUAUUCCUUCACAAGUUAGAACACGUCGGAGAGUUGUUGGCUGGCAAAAUAUUGUGUCUGAUUUUUCUCACAAGGAACAUAGCAGAAAAGAGACCAAGGAUUUUUUGGACAAUUGAAGCAAUUCUUGAAGCAGGAGAAGGAACAGAAUUGAUUAAAGAACGGUAGCUUUUGUUAUGUUCUCUCUGGUCUUUUUAAAACCUUUUAUCGGAAUGUUAUGAGUUGAUGGCCCUUAGAUUUUAAGAUUCCAUUAUUAUCCUGUCUAAAAAUUAAUUGUUUUUUUUUCUCACUGAUAAAAAAUUCGCAAGAGAGUCCAAUUGAAAUUAAAAGAACCAUUAUAGUCUUUUAUGUAUUUUGUGUUUGGUGUGCCGCAGUUUUUCUACAGUAUGUCAGUUAUGUAACGGCGGACAUUUAACCUAACUAGUGUUCCUAGAUUCGGUACCAUUACUAGCCUCCACAUGAAUUAGAGGUGGAGGGCGAAUGAUUUCAGACACAAUGUAUUUCAUCAAAUCGUCCUAGAGAACAUAAUCCGUGGGAUUGAACAUACGACCCUGCGAUCUGUAGGUCUACGCUCUCUUUACUGAGCUAAGCAAACGGGCCCAUGCUAUUCCCUUCUCUGUGUGAUGCCUGGUGAAAUCCGAGGGUUUGUUGUUGUUGGUUGUGGUAGUGGUGUUGUUGUUGUGGCUGCUGCUGUUGCUGAUGCUGCUUCAUUGAAAAGUGAAUGUACCGUUUUCAUGUUUCUUCAAAACAAAACUAAGCCUAUGAAAAAAUGGUUAUUUUAUAUUAAUAUCAAUAUUACAAAAUAAAGCAAUUAAUGCAUAUUUUAGUAUUGCUUCCCGAACGCUCCAUUGCUUUUGUUUAUGGUGUUUAUGCAAUACAUAUUAUAUCUUAAAUUGUUAAUGAAUGUUCUUAAAGAAACCUGACUGACUGCAUGUAUCAAAGAUAUGUUUCAGGAAGCUUAUAGAUUUUGUCAACAGGAGGCGGCAUGUCAAGUGCAGGAUAUGCAUUCAGCGUUCCUUGACAUCCUGGAAUUCGGCACAAAUAUGGGAAUUAUCGAGCAAGGCCCUCAAAAUCCAGUUUGAUUGCAAAGUACCGUAAGGAUAUGGCAGUAUCUGCCUUGAAAAAGCUUACUGAGGGAUUCUAUGAUAAGAAAUUCAAGGAUAUUUGUAUUGCAAAGUUAGGGACAGUGCCUGAUAAAAAAGGAGUAGGCUCAAAUUAUGCAAACAAGGCUGUUGAAGUCACGUUGUGGAUGUGUGUGCAAGACCCACCGGUUUAUAUAAUUCCUACCAGUAAAGACGGUUUCGAUCCAAAACUGUAUACCGCCUACAGUAAAACUUCAAGUCAACCAGAUUACUUCGUUUGGCCUGCAUUAAGAUAUUCCCAUAGCGGUGAAGUUCUACAAAAGGACGUUAUGCAAUAUAAGUGAUUUUAGUUCAUGCCUAAUGUUUGUGUUUCAUUCAGCAUUAUAUUAUUGAAAGAAAUGUAACAAGAAAUGUAUAUUGUUCAAUACAUUUCUUCUUCCCAUCUUCUGUUGUUUAUGAUAUAUGGAAAGUGUAAUGUUCAAAGUUUGCAGACAUUUACAAAAACGAAAGGGCGGAUGCUCUAGAUGAGUUAGAACACUUCAAGAUAAACAAGAGAGACGCUAUUACGUGUUUAUUAAAAGUAGUACUGAUAGUAAACUUUUGGCUCCUUUUUAUGGAAUGUAACUUUUAUCGAAUGUAUGCCUUUUGUUUUCUUUUUUCUUGUUUCCUUUUCUACCCAUUCUUAUAUUGUAUUUUCUGCUCUUCGAUAUUUCUCCAACAAUAUUGUUAGAUUUCCAGUCAAAAAUGUAAAUGGUUUAGAUUCUGUAUAGAUACAUUUGCCAUACUUUGCAUUUAUCUCAACCAUAAACUCCCAUGUAAGUAAUACACUCUACCAUUAGACAUUAAGAUGUGUUUGUUUGUUUGGGGUUUAGUGCACCAAAAUAUAACUGUAUUCUUUCGUGUCUCCAUAAUGGUAAAAAUGACAAUCUCUACAUUGCUUUUACAGAACUAUAAUGGAGAACAAAACAAAUGUGUUGAAUGCCUAAACAUUUUAUAGAAUUAAUGUAAAAGUAUGCACAGUGCUUGAUGUAUUUAGUUAAGUUUCCAGCGCACUUUGUUUCCAGAGUAAGAAAGUUAUUUUACUUUAAAAUUCACUGAGAGAGAUUUACUGAAUGUAAUAUAUAGCCGUUAACAGAUGAAGGAGUGAAAACACAAUCAUUACUCAAGAGAGCCUUUAAUUGUCCACCUGACAUAUUAUAGUAUAGUUUUAUGAUACCUGUAUCAUCAGAAUUUUCUUAAAUUCAUACUGGGGAGGGGGAGGGGAAAGCACACUAGUCGGUUGUAGUCGGUCUUUAUGAUCUUGUUCAAAGCUGUUUAUCAUACUAAUUGCUACUGUAUUUGAAUGUUGCUAGUUUCUAUAUUUUAAUCUAAACUAGGAAUCGUUCAUAUAGAAGCGAGGUGAAUGUUACAGUUUUCAUGUAUGUUUGCACUAAAUCAUAAUUGAAACGAGUAACAAAACAUAAAGCUUUUGUGUGACGUUUUUGCCAGCUAAAUUUACAAGAAGGUCUUAUUGUAUUGUUUAGGUUCUUAUGCUGUACGAGUGUGAAAGAAGGUAAUGCCAAUAUUGACAAAUAAAUUUCUGAAGUAUUAAAGAAAGGUUUUAUGUCAUAUUUAAUAAGACUGAUGUUAACAUUUUAUGACAUAUGCGCCCUAAAAAUGCUUAAUAGAAUAAAAUAUAAAGUCAAAGUAUGGGCAAACUCCAGAAAUAAAAUUUGACAUGUAAUUCCCAAAGAUAUGUGUAUGUAUUCAUGGUGGAUACUAAGUUUCAUUGCAUUGACCGGAAGCUGUAGGAAGGGUUGAGUAGUAAUAUGUUAAGUCCAAACCAGACUAAAACUAUAACUCCUAAUAAUUAUCAAACAUGAAUGUCCUGAAAAUAUGCGCAUGUCUACUUCACACUGACAAUGUAUACCACAUUUCAUUCACAUUGAAUUGAAACUAUAGGAGGAGUUAGCAAAGUGUGACGGACGGACAUACUUGACUGAUGUAAAGACAGUUCAAACACUAUGAAUGGCUUUAGGUACACAAAGUCUUUAUCUGAAAUCACAAUUAUGCAUUUCUGUUUUUUUUUUCUUUAUUCAGCGAUGUCUAUCGUCUCCAUUUUUAUCAGUCAAUGAUUCCAUUUUAUUUCAGGGUUGUGUUCAGUACAGUUAAUACAGAUUGCCAUUGAUUCUCUCUAAUGCUGACAUAAACGGUGGAUGUAUGUACAAU
rnacentral:lncRNA from 1 species